UACGUAGGGGGCAAGCGUUGUCCGGAAUCAUUGGGCGUAAAGCGCGUGUAGGCGGUUCAGUAAGUCUGCUGUGAAAGUCCAGGGCUCAACCCUGGGAUGCCGGGUGGAUACUGGCUGGACUAGAGUGCGGAAGAGGCGAGUGGAAUUCCCGGUGUAGCGGUGAAAUGCGCAGAUAUCGGGAGGAACACCAAUUGCGAAGGCAGCUCGCUGGGACGUUGACGACGCUGAGACGCGAAAGCGUUGGGGAGCAAACAGG
rnacentral:rRNA from 1 species